GACGAACGCUGGCGGCGUGCUUAACACAUGCAAGUCGAACGGAAAGGCCCUGCGUUUGUGGCGUGCUCGAGAGGGGAAAGGGGGAGUAACACGAGAGUAACCUGCCCUUGACAUAGGGAUAACAUCAGGGAACUGGGGCUAAUACGGGAUAGAAGCUACUGCUGCAUGGGGGGGAAUGGUUAGUUUCGGCGGUUGGGGCUGGACUCGCUGCUCAUGAGCUUGUUGGUGUGGUAGGGGCUUACCAAGGCUUUGACGGGUAGCCGGCCUGGGAGGGUGGACACCGACCUUGGGCCUGGGAUACGGCGCAGGCUCGUACGGGAGGCAACUGUGGAGUGUGUGACAGAAUGGGCGGGCGCCUGAGGCAGCGACGCCGCGUGCGGGGUGACGUCCUUCGGGUUGUAAACCGAUUUCGCCUGUGACGAAGCCGGAGUGACGGUAAUGGGUAAAGAAGCACCGGCUAACUACGUG
rnacentral:rRNA from 1 species